CUCCCUCCCCUUCCUUCGCCGGCCGUGCCUCCGCCUCCCUCGGGCCCGAGGCAGCAGCGCGCGAGGCGGACAGCGCCGCCACCCGGUUGGCGCCAAGACUUGCGCCUCUGGGAGGAUUGGACCCAAAGGGCAAGCGAGGAGGGGCCCCUGUGGCGGGAAGAGAACCCGGUCCCAGAGGCCCUUGUGAGGGCACGCAGGACGAACUGAGCUUUACGUUAUGCCGCGAAGAUGAGUUCGUGACUUUUGGGGGUCAUCCUGAGAGACAUGGACGGAACUGGUUGAAAGACGGUUAAUUACUCGGUGAAAAGGAACUGAUUUCCUCCCCAGGAACAGAAGAUAUGCAAACUGAGGAAAAGUUUUACAACAUGGCACAACGCGUGGAGCCCAACACAGGGCUUGAACUCAUGACCCUGGGAUCAAGACCUGAGCUGAGAUCAAGAGUAGAAUACUUAACCAACUGAGCCACCCAGGUGCCCCAAGAACUGGUUCACCUUCUAAUCAUACCUAAGAUUUAUCAUGAUUUUCAGGGGAUAGGAAGUAUCCUGUUGAUUGAAUUCUUUGACAAAUUGAAACUUAACCUGAAAAUUCUUUUUCUGUCCACUCCAUUGAAAAUAUUUCUAAAAUAUCUGUUAUCUUUUCAGUCUUUAGAAAGCACAGGAUAGGGAACAUAAUGGGGAAUCUUUGGUGUUUGAACAUACCCCAAACGCCUCGGGGCUGUCAAUCUGAAAGCCACUUUAAAUUUCAAAACUGUAAGUAUAGAAUCAGUGAUUGAUUUGAGCCAAACACAUACUGAGGCUAGAACUUUCCAUGGAAGUUAGUUUCAUCUCUAUGUGUAUUUUAAAAAAUACAAUGGCGAGAGGCCAGUUAAGAACCUUUGGGUUUUGAUACAUUAAGCUACUUAGCACUUACUAUCUGGCAGAAAAAUGUUGAGGAUGCAGAGGUGACAAGAUAUCCCUGAAUUCAACAGGCAGUUUGAAGUUUUCUUGUGUUUUUAUUACUAUAUUUUCAUGUAUUUGUGCUGUCUUAACUCUCUAAUUUGGAAACCAGAAGUCUGGAUAGAAGAUAAUGGACUUGGGAUGGUGGGGAAAUAAGAAUUUUCUUAGGUGUAAGCAAGGACAAAAUGUUAGCCUUGGCUCUCUCUUGUUAAUGAGGUUAUGGGAUAUGCUUUUCUCUUUCUUCAUACUUUCAUGUACUUUCCAAAC